UACGAAGGGGGCUAGCGUUGUUCGGAAUUACUGGGCGUAAAGGGCGCGUAGGCGGCCGCCUAAGUCAGACGUGAAAUCCCUCGGCUCAACCUGGGAACUGCAUUUGUGACUGCAUCGCUGGAGUGCGGCAGAGGGGGAUGGAAUUCCGCGUGUAGCAGUGAAAUGCGUAGAUAUCGGGAGGAACAUCAGUGGCGGAAGGCGGCCUUCUGGUCCAGUACUGACACUCAAGUGCGAAAGCGUGGGAGCAACAGG
rnacentral:rRNA from 1 species